rnacentral:lncRNA from 1 species
AGUCGGCAGUCGGCACAUAGCCACAUAGACAUAGGUCGGACUCGGAAGUUUAGCAAGGCUGUCUGGUUUUCCGUCACGUUUUAUUUUGUUAUUCGAGUGCUCAACCGUUGUAUCUGUGUUACGCUUGACUGUCCUGCCACCCUACAUGUAGUUGAAACAAAGCAGUCAAAUUAGGAAGCAAUUGAAACAGCCCAGGAUUCCCAGAUCACGUCAGUGCAAGAAGUGAGGCAUAGGCUGUUUUGCCUGCAUUGGAUAUUUAAUCCAAGUUUGAAAAAGAAGGAAUUUCUUCCAUGAAAUUUUAUUUUGUGCAUCUUUAUUGGAUCAGAUAUGGAACUAGAGUGAGCGUGUGAGACUGUGUACAUGCUGUGUACCUGAUGAAGUGAAUGAGAAUGUUCACUUAUACAAGGUUGCUAAAUCGUAAACUAUUAUUUUCAACGAAACCAACGCUUCACACCCCUUUUCCUAUCGCAAGGGAAAGUCCUCAAAUCCCCCACGAGAUGCCACUGCAGUUUAAUAACAACAAUGACUGCAAUGGUUAGUGCACAUGAGAUCCUCGUGAAAGGAAAAUAGCAUGAUCCAGGCUGUUCUUCAAUUGCAAAGAAAGAGAAUUAUGAUUGAAACAAAUGCAAAAUAUCCAACUGGAAUUCUCUCCAUAUUUGUGGUAAUUUCGGAAAAUAUUCUUUCCAGAGAAUAACACCUUAAAAUAAAUAACUGUGGUUGUGAUAAUGUAGCAGUAUUGCUUGAAUCCGUCGCCACCUUUUCAUAGACUGACCCAUUGAAUGGUGAAACUGACGAGAGAAUGCUGUUAUUCAAGACUGCUAAAUUGUUUAGUUGUUAGAUAUAUUACAAGUGCAUAUCUGGGCUCCCUUCUUUUCUGUGGCCCCGUUUCCCUAACUAACCACUAACCAACGCCCGCCGGUGGUCACUCACCCGCUGUGAAACCAGGAG